rnacentral:rRNA from 1 species
UGAACGCUGGCGGCGUGCCUAAUACAUGCAAGUCGAGCGAACAGACGAGGAGCUUGCUCCUCUGCCGUUAGCGGCGGACGGGUGAGUAACACGUGGAUAACCUACCUAUAAGACUGGGAUAACUUCGGGAAACCGGAGCUAAUACCGGAUAAUAUAUUGAACCGCAUGGUUCAAUAGUGAAAGACGGUUUUGCUGUCACUUAUAGAUGGAUCCGCGCCGCAUUAGCUAGUUGGUAAGGUAACGGCUUACCAAGGCAACGAUGCGUAGCCGACCUGAGAGGGUGAUCGGCCACUCUGGAACUGAGACACGGUCCAGACUCCUACGGGAGGCAGCAGUAGGGAAUCUUCCGCAAUGGGCGAAAGCCUGACGGAGCAACGCCGCGUGAGUGAUGAAGGUCUUCGGAUCGUAAAACUCUGUUAUUAGGGAAGAACAAAUGUGUAAGUAACUAUGCACGUCUUGACGGUACCUAAUCAGAAAGCCACGGCUAACUACGUG